rnacentral:rRNA from 1 species
CCUGAACGCUGGCGGCGUGGCUAAGACAUGCAAGUCGAACGGACCUAGCAAUAGGUCAGUGGCGGACGGGUGAGUAAUGUAUCGCUAAUGUACCCUAGAGCCAGGGAUAGCUGCCCGAAAGGGCAGGUAAUACCUGAUGAAAUGCCUUGAUCGCAUGAUCGGGGCCUCAAAGCAGCAAUGCACUCCUGGAGCAGGCGAUAUCGUANCAGCUAGUUGGUGAGGUAACGGCUCACCAAGGCGACGACGCGUAGCCGGGCUGAGAGGUUGACCGGCCACAUUGGGACUGAGACACUG